AGUGAACGCUGGCGGUAGGCCUAACACAUGCAAGUCGAACGGCAGCACAGUAAGAGCUUGCUCUUACGGGUGGCGAGUGGCGGACGGGUGAGGAAUACAUCGGAAUCUACUUUUUCGUGGGGGAUAACGUAGGGAAACUUACGCUAAUACCGCAUACGACCUACGGGUGAAAGCAGGGGAUCUUCGGACCUUGCGCGAUUGAAUGAGCCGAUGUCGGAUUAGCUAGUUGGCGGGGUAAAGGCCCACCAAGGCGACGAUCCGUAGCUGGUCUGAGAGGAUGAUCAGCCACACUGGAACUGAGACACGGUCCAGACACCGACGGGAGGCAGCAGUGGGGAAUAUUGGACAAUGGGCGCAAGCCUGAUCCAGCCAUACCGCGUGGGUGAAGAAGGCCUGCGGGUUGUAAAGCCCUUUUGUUGGGAAAGAAAAGCAGCAGGUUAAUACCCCGCUGUUCUGACGGUACCCAAAGAAUAAGCACCGGCUAACUUCGU
rnacentral:rRNA from 1 species